UACGAAGGGUGCUAGCGUUGCUCGGAAUCACUGGGCGUAAAGGGUGCGUAGGCGGUUCUUUAAGUCAGGGGUGAAAUCCUGGAGCUCAACUCCAGAACUGCCUUUGAUACUGAGGAUCUUGAGUUCGGGAGAGGUGAGUGGAACUGCGAGUGUAGAGGUGAAAUUCGUAGAUAUUCGCAAGAACACCAGUGGCGAAGGCGGCUCACUGGCCCGAUACUGACGCUGAGGCACGAAAGCGUGGGGAGCAAACAGG
rnacentral:rRNA from 1 species